rnacentral:rRNA from 1 species
UACGUAGGGGGCGAGCGUUGUCCGGAUUUAUUGGGCGUAAAGAGCGUGUAGGCGGGUCGGUAAGUCUGUCGUGAAAUCCUGAGGCUCAACCUCGGGCGUGCGAUGGAUACUGCCGGGCUAGAGGGUGGUAGAGGCGAGUGGAAUUCCCGGUGUAGCGGUGAAAUGCGCAGAUAUCGGGAGGAACACCAGUAGCGAAGGCGGCUCGCUGGGCCACACCUGACGCUGAGACGCGAAAGCGUGGGGAGCAAACAGG